UGUCUGAUGAAAUUCAUUAGAGCACAUGCUGUCUGUCUGAUGCAAUUCAUUGCCAUUUAGCACACAUACAGUGUGCAGAUGCCAUAUAAUGUAGGUUGAUGAAAGAUUUAAAUCAUAGUAAGGAAAGAGUCUU